AAGCCCCAGGAGUAGGUGUCAGCAUCUGCUUGCUGAUGAUACUGGCCCAGCACUGGUCUGACAGCUUCGCUGUACUACUAGUUUCUUGUUUAGGAUCAGUUGCAGUAAUACUCAGUCACUAAUAAUACUGAGUUGUCAAUACAACAAGCACUUUUGGGGCAACAGAGUUGAAACUGCCUGUCUCUUUUUGCUGUUUUGUUUGGGUUUUUUUGGUAGGUUGGCCUCCGUUCCUGUAGAGAAGCAGAUGCCUCAGUGAUUAAUUCCCAGUUGCUGAAGAUGUCAUCAGGCCUUACAGAGGAACAAAAGAGAAGAAUUGAAGAGAACCGCCAGAAGGCUUUGGCUAGGAGAGCAGAGAGACUAGCAGCCCAGAGAGGUGGGCAGGUGGGGACUGCUGGACAUCAGGUGAAAGAACAGAGUCCAGGUAACUUGAAGGAAGAAAACAAUCAUGUCAGGUUUAUUAACCAGCACCAACAGAAUCCAAGCAGUCCCGUGCAGCAGAAGAGCAAUCUUCAGAAAGAUUAUCAUUGUUACACUGCAAAUCAACAAAUGGCUGGUUCACACAAAGAGAAACAAAGGAAUUGUUCAGAGGACUCAGGACAAGGAAGUGGCAUUAAGCAGUUCCCUACAACGAUCCCAAAUUCUCUGGGUUUUUCCCAAAAAGAUUAUGUGGAUGUUGGUCAUCAGGAACAUGGACAACAAGCUUUAAUUAAUCUUGGUACAUUCCAGGAGCCCAAAUGCUACUCGGCUUUCACAAACCCCUCAGAGCCAUCUCAUUCUAGAUUAAUCAAUAGCAGACACCCUGGUGGUAGUAAAGAUUUACAAAGUCAGAACAAAUCUGCCAUAAAAUAUGUUUCACCACCAAGCAGCACCAUCCCAACUGCUUCAGAAAUGCUGAUAAACACAAACAGACCAACAACAGAAAGAGAGGAGGGAGGUGGUGCCUCUCAGGCCAGUGGUAGGAUGCAGAAGCUGACCAAGUUUGUUGGUGCAGGCUCUAUCUCUGAAGCUGCCUCUUGCAAGAAAGCAAACAAUGUUAUAAAAGGAAAAUGUGUGAAAUAUGGGGAAGACAGAUUCCAGGUCGAAAUAGGGUAUAAUGCUGAACUUAUUGCUGUGUUUAAGAAGAUACCAAGCAGAAGCUAUGAUCCUACUAUAAAAAAAUGGAAUUUCAGCCUGGAAGAUUACAGCAGUUUCAUGGAAGCAGCAAAUCAACUUCCGUCAGUCAUUCUGGUACCACUGGGAGGAGAAAAUGCAGUUGGCUUGGCAUCAGGCUCUCAUUUUGUUGGCAGCAGGGCUGAUGUGAAAUCCCUCUUGAAGAUGUGUAGCAACUGGAAGAAACCUACAGCCCUUGUCAAAGGGAAGUGUGUGUUGAUCUCUCGCUUGCGGUUUGAAGUUGAUAUUGGGUAUUCUGCAGAGGUGAUUGGAGUGUUCAAACAGAUGGAUUCCAGAAAUUAUGAUAUGAACACCAGAAAGUGGAGUUUCCUGCUACAGGACUAUCCCAAACUGAUGAAAGUGUUACAGAGCCUUGUGUCAGUAGAAGUGGAGCCACUGCCUGCAGCAGUAAUACAGACCUUUGCUGCUCAAAUACAGAGAUCUACGUCGGAGACAGACAUUCCUGAUGCUGACCUUUCUGUAGUGGACUCCAAAAUUGUGACGAGCCUCAUGCCCUUUCAGCGGGAAGGCUGCAUUCUCUUCCACGGAGGUUUCCACAUUUCGCUAUUGUCUUUAGGCUGUUACACGCUGGCACCGUGGGCUCUUGGUUGUUUGGAAUGUUUUGCAAUUUUAAGAAAUGGGCGUUUGCUUCUUGCGGAUGACAUGGGCUUGGGCAAGACCAUCCAGGCCAUCUGCAUCGCUGCCUAUUACCAGCAGGAAUGGCCCUUGCUCGUGGUGACUCCUUCUUCCGUGAGGUUUACAUGGGCAGAGGCAUUUCACAGGUGGCUUCCAUCCUUGAGUCCAGGUAGCACCAAUGUCAUAGUGACUGGCAAGGACAACCUAACAGCAAGUUUGAUCAAUAUAAUCAGCUUUGACCUCCUCAGCAAGAUGGACAAGCAGCUUAAGAGCACUUUCCAAGUAGUUAUUAUUGAUGAAUCGCAUUUCCUCAAGAACAUCAAAACUGCCCGAUGCCGAGCUGCCAUGCCUCUGCUCAAGGCUGCCAAGAGAGUGAUCUUGCUGUCGGGAACGCCUGCCAUGUCACGGCCUGCAGAGCUCUACACACAGAUUGCAGCUGUCCAGCCAGCCUUCUUCCCAAAGUUCCAUUCCUUUGGGCAACGCUACUGUGAUGCCAGGAAGAUGCCGUGGGGUUGGGACUACUCUGGAUCAUCCAACUUAACUGAACUGAAAAUUUUGCUGGAAGAGUCCAUCAUGAUCCGACGUCUGAAAUCAGAUGUGCUUUCCCAGCUUCCAGCAAAGCAGCGCAAAAUGGUUGUGGUGGCUCCUGAAGGCAUUAGUGCAAAGACUAGAGCUGCCUUGGCAGCUGAAGCGAAGAAGAUGGCCAAGGGUUACCAAAGUAAACAACAGGAGAAGGAAGCUCUUCUCCUCUUCUACAACAGAACGGCAGAAGCUAAAAUCCAUUCUGUUGUAGAAUACAUCCUGGAGUUACUUGAAAGCGGGAAUGAUAAAUUCCUUGUGUUUGCUCAUCACAAGAUAGUGCUGGAUGCAAUAGUUGCAGAGCUGGAGAAGAAACACGUUGAAUACAUCCGCAUUGACGGCUCCACACCUUCAGCUGAGCGGCAGUCUCUGUGCCAAAAGUUCCAGCUCUCAGAGAAGCAGGUUGUGGCUGUCCUGUCCCUCACUGCUGCAAACAUGGGCCUGACAUUGUCUGCUGCAGAUCUGGUGGUGUUUGCAGAGCUCUUCUGGAAUCCAGGGAUUUUGAUCCAAGCAGAAGAUCGGGCACAUCGGAUUGGACAGACCAGCUCUGUUAACAUUCACUACGUGGUGGCCAAAGGCACAGCAGAUGACUACUUAUGGUAUGAAGUGAGAAGGACACUUAGGUUCUUCUGCCACCUGUUUUCACUGUUUGUUACGUGUGUGAUCUAAGGUGCUUAAUGUUAAUGCUGAUUUCCACAGCCUGUGAGGGGAGGAGCAGUGACUGCCAACCAGGACUGCUGUGAGCUGGUGACAUGGCUUGGCCACAGUGGACAUAACUAAGUGGUUGACAAACAAGAGGAAUAGAAGUAUUUAUCUGACAAAGAAAGGGCUGUUGAGAGAAAUUAUGGGAGAACUGAUGCAUCUAAAAACUUCAGCCUCUGCAUAAGGAGAAGAAAUUGUAUUAGAUACAGCCCAGAGCAUUCGUGUGCUGUGGUUCUGUAAAGUGCUGAGUACUUUCAAGCAAAGUCAACAAACACUGGACAUGGUUCAGUGUAUUGUGGAUCAGGUCUGAGGAGUAAUCUGGCUGCUGAGUGCUUGGACCAGGAGCUGUGGAUGAGGACUGCAGUGUUGCUUUCUCUUGCUUUUCAGUGAGUCCUUCAGAUGCAUUAAGGAACUUCUAAUGAGUUACCUCUGGAGGGUUGUGGUCUGAGCCUUUUUGGCUACAGUGAGAGCUAUUAUGGACACUGGUCCUUAGGGCUGGGGAAUCUGACAUCUGGGGGAAGGCAGGAUAUGAGGAAUCCUUAGUGCUGCAAGGGAACUGACCUGCAAAUGAUAAGAAGAAAUUAUCCACCAGCUGGUUUAUUUAAAGUCCUAAAUUACAUCUUUAUUACCUUGUUUAAAGGAACAAAUGAACUAAGUGAACUUGUGCACUUCCCAGAACAUCAUGAUGGCAAAUAAUUAUAACCCUACAAUGCAGGGAUCUGGAAACUGAUGCAUCACCCACAUUUCAAGGAAGGUUAAUGACAGUAAUUCUGCCUUUAUUUGUGAAAUUCUGUCCAUGCAGUCAUUAAUGCUUAAUGGGAAGAAAAUAUGGCUCUUCAGAGGACAGUGGCAUCCUUUAUAAAGGCAAGAAAAAGAACAAGAAGACAGGGCUAUUUGGGAAAUGCAUUAAUUGUGCUGUGGCCUUCUUUCAAAGUGUCCAUUCUGCAGGCGCAGUUGGGAACCUCUAGAGCCAGUGAUGGAUUCUUCCUCCUGUAGUACAUUUGGAGGCCAAUGAUUCAAGAGAAAAUCAAAGUGCUGGGGG